rnacentral:rRNA from 1 species
GUUUCGGUGGUGAUAGCGAGAGGGAAACGCCCGGUCCCAUUCCGAACCCGGAAGCUAAGCCUUUCAGCGCCGAUGGUACUGCACCUGUGGGGGUGUGGGAGAGUAGGACGCCGCCGAACU